rnacentral:lncRNA from 1 species
UGGAGGUGGUGGGGACCCCCCCGAAGGGAGGGGGGGGGCGAUGUGGUCAUGGAAAAAAUUUGGGUUGGAGACGCCCGAGCUCAAUGGGGGCUUUGUUCAGUGCUGCGGCGCCAGGGCCCCCGGGCGGGAGGUGCCGCCGGCCCCCCCCAGCUCUGCGGCGUGCCACGCCUCGGCAGGCCCCCGGGGGGUGUGUGUAAAGGCGUGCAAUGCUGUGUAAAGCCGUGCAAAGGCAUGCGAUGCCAUGCAAAACUGUGCAAUGCUGUGGAAAACUGUGGAACGCCGUGCAAAGCCGUGCAAUACUGUGCAAAACUGUUCACAAUGCCGUGCAAAGCCAUGUGUGGUCGUGCAAAGCAGUGCAAGGCUAUGUAACGUGGUGCGAUGCCACAUAUAGUCCUGCAAUGCUUUGAAACGCGGCGUGAAAUGCCAUGCAAAGCCACGCAGUGCCGUGCAAAGUGGAGCAAAGCUGUGCAAAACCACAGCACGAAAUGCUGUGCAGAGCCAUGCAACGCUGUGCAAGGUGGUACAACAACAUGCUGAGCCGUGGCACGCGUUGCUGUGCAAAGCCGUGUGAUGCCGUGCAAAGCGGUACGAUGGCAUGUAAAACUGUGGCAUGAAACACCGUGCAAAGCCAUGCAAUGCCAUGAGACGCCAUGCAAAGCCGUGCAAUGUCAUGCGAAGCGGUACAACGUCAUGCAAAACUGUGCCAUGAAACGCCGUGCAAAGCCACACGAUGCUGUGCAAAGCCGUGCCAAGCUGUGCAAAGCCACAGCUGGCCGUGCAGCGCCAGGCCCCGCGGGGCUGUGCUGAGCCGUGCAGCACCGGUGGGGGUCUCCGUGGGGGGCAGCCCCCACGCGGAUCGUGGCCGUGCUGCCCCGGGGUGCCUGGGGGGGGCGGGGAGGUGUGAGGGGGGGGGCUGCUGGUGCCGGGGUCACACCUGGUGUGUGUGCAACGCACAGAGGGCACACGCACCUCAAGGCACGGCAGGGGUGUGCACACACAUGCAUGAUCACAUGCGUGUGCAUUGCUGCGUGCAUGUGGUCUUGCACACCUGCACGCUCACACAUGCUGACACACAUGUGCAGCAUUGUGCAAUGCAUGGUCUUGCACGUGGGCAUGCUUGCACACUCACGCGUGCUCACAUAGGCUCAUGCGCGCUUGCAGAUGUGCACUCACUUCUGCAUCACCACCAGCGUGCAAGGCCUUGCACACGUGCAUACCCCCACACUGGUGCGCCAUCAUCACACACGUGUGGUCUUGCAGACAUGCUUGCUCACCUGUGCACACUCAUGCACCCGUGCAUGGUCUUGCAUGUGCACGUGCUUGCACACUCUCGUGCACGCCCCCCAGCCCCACGAGGCCUCGUGCGAGGUCCUGUGCCCCCCAGCGCCUCCCGGCCACGGGUGCAGGGCCUGGUGCACGCGCAGACUGGCGUGACAGCCCGUGUCCCAGCGUGCCCCGGGACUGGCGUGACGCCCCGUGUCCCGUCGUGCCCCAGGAGCACCCGGGGCCCUUGGCGUGUGGCCCCGUGUCCCAGCGUGCCCCGGGAGCACCGCGGGUGUUGGCGUCACUCCCAGCUUCCCAGUGUGCUCUGGGGCGGGGCGGCGUGACCGGGGAGGCCUCGCACACACGUGUGCAAGGGGCCUGCUGCAGCUCCCCCCCCAGGCCCAUCUGCACCCGGUGUGCAAACCCUUGCACGCGCACAGGGCUGUGGCUCAACGUGCGCUGCUCACCACCGCCUUGCACACGUGUCCCUGUGCAAGCCUGGCACUCACGUGCAAGCCUUGCACUAACCCCCUGGGCAGCCCUUGCACCAACAUUCUGUGUGACCCUUGCACCAAAGCAUCCCCGUGCAACACUUCCACAGCCCCCCCCCCCAACUCUUGCACAGAACC